rnacentral:rRNA from 1 species
CUUGGUGCCUUCGGGAACCGUGAGACAGGUGCUGCAUGGCUGUCGUCAGCUCGUGUUGUGAAAUGUUGGGUUAAGUCCCGCAACGAGCGCAACCCUUAUCCUUUGUUGCCAGCGGUUCGGCCGGGAACUCAAAGGAGACUGCCAGUGAUAAACUGGAGGAAGGUGGGGAUGACGUCAAGUCAUCAUGGCCCUUACGAGUAGGGCUACACACGUGCUACAAUGGCAUAUACAAAGAGAAGCGACCUCGCGAGAGCAAGCGGACCUCAUAAAGUAUGUCGUAGUCCGGAUUGGAGUCUGCAACUCGACUCCAUGAAGUCGGAAUCGCUAGUAAUCGUAGAUCAGAAUGCUACGGUGAAUACGUUCCCGGGCCUUGUACACACCGCCCGUCACACCAUGGGAGUGGGUUGCAAAAGAAGUAGGUAGCUUAACCUUCGGGAGGGCGCUUACCACUUUGUGAUUCAUGACUGGGGUGAAGUCGUAACAAGGUAACCGUAGGGGAACCUGCGGUUGGAUCACCUCCUUACC